rnacentral:rRNA from 1 species
UACGGAGGGGGCUAGCGUUGUUCGGAAUUACUGGGCGUAAAGCGCUCGUAGGCGGCUUUGUAAGUUAGAGGUGAAAUCCCGGGGCUCAACCCCGGGCGUGCAGUGGAUACGGGCUGGCUAGAGGCAGGCAGGGGAGAACGGAAUUCCCGGUGUAGCGGUGAAAUGCGCAGAUAUCGGGAGGAACACCGGUGGCGAAGGCGGUUCUCUGGGCCUGUACUGACGCUGAGGAGCGAAAGCGUGGGGAGCGAACAGG